rnacentral:misc_RNA from 1 species
AUCCAACAAGUAUGGCCCAGGAGUGUCUAACAUCUUUUGAAUGGCAGCUCUAAGAUCAUCCCUGUGUGACACUCUUGCAGCAGGUACGCCACAAGCCUCUGCAAAUUUCAACAUAUUAGGGAAGAUCUCUUCCUCGUUAGAAGGGUCACCCAAGUAAGUGUGUGCUCUGUUAGCUUUAUAGAAUCGAUCCUCCCAUUGAACCACCAUUCCCAAGUGUUGAUUAUUCAGCAACAUAAUCUUAACUGGGAGAUUCUCCACCUUAAUUGUUGCUAACUCUUGCACAUUCAUGAUAAAACUCCCAUCACCGUCAAUGUCAACCACAAUCUCACCCGGUCUCCCAACAGCCGCACCUAUAGCAGCAGGCAAACCAAAUCCCAUUGCUCCUAAUCCACCAGAUGUCAACCAUUGGCGUGGCUUUUUGUACUUAUAGUAUUGGGCAGCCCACAUCUGGUGUUGCCCCACACCAGUACUAAUAAUGGCAUUUCCGUUAGUUAACUCAUCAAGAACCUGAAUAGCAUAUUGUGGAGGGAUGGCAUCACCAAAAGUCUUAAAAUUCAGUGGGUACUUCAUCUUCUGCUCCGUUAACUCCUGCCUCCAGGCAGAAAAAUCUAACUUCAUCUUACCUUCUUUACCCUCCAAUAUGGAAUUCAAACCCUGUAAUGCCAACUUGAUAUCUGCACAAAUGGAAACAUGAGGUUGCUUGUUUUUUCCAAUCUCUGCCGAAUCAAUAUCAAUGUGGACAAUUUUCGCUCGACUAGCAAAAGCUUCCAAUUUACCAGUAACUCGAUCAUCAAACCUCACCCCAAAUGCAAGCAACAAAUCA